CCUACGGGGGGCAGCAGGCGCAGGAAGCCGCAGCGGAAGCCGAAGCCGAGCGCCGUGGAGACUUCGGGCUCGUAGUUCAGCGCGGAAUCGUUCAGCUUCAGCUUCUGCAGCGCGUCGCGGAAGGCUUCGUAGUCGUCGCUGCUCACCGGAAACAGGCCGGCGAACACCCGCGGCUUGAUCGUCUUGAAGCCCGGCAGCGGCUCGCUGCACGGACGAUUGUCGAGAGUGAUGGUGUCGCCGACGGGUGCGCCGUCGAUUUCCUUGAUACCCGCGAUGACGAAGCCGACCUCGCCCGUGUAGAGCGCAUCGGCCACCAGCGACUUCGGCGUGAACCGGCCGAGCUUGUGCGCCUGGUGCGCCCCAUAGG
rnacentral:rRNA from 1 species